rnacentral:rRNA from 1 species
GUAGCUGGUCUGAGAGGACGAUCAGCCACACUGGAACUGAGACACGGUCCAGACUCCUACGGGAGGCAGCAGUGGGGAAUAUUGGACAAUGGGCGCAAGCCUGAUCCAGCAAUGCCGCGUGUGUGAAGAAGGCCUGCGGGUUGUAAAGCACUUUAAGCAGGGAGGAAGGCUCUAAGGCGAAUACCCUUGGAGAUUGACGUUACCUGCAGAAUAAGCACCGGCUAACUCCGUGCCAGCAGCCGCGGUAAUACGGAGGGUGCGAGCGUUAAUCGGAAUUACUGGGCGUAAAGCGCGCGUAGGCGGUUGACUAAGUUUGCUGUGAAAGCCCCGGGCUUAACCUGGGAACUGCAGUGAAUACUGGUGAGCUAGAGUAUGG